rnacentral:miRNA from 1 species
AACAGGAAUUAUAUAGUUAGGGU